rnacentral:rRNA from 1 species
UAAUACGGAGGGUGCAAGCGUUAUCCGGAUUUAUUGGGUUUAAAGGGUGCGUAGGCGGACUAGUAAGUCAGUGGUGAAAUCCUCGAGCUCAACUCGAGAACUGCCAUUGAUACUGCUAGACUAGAGUACAGUUGAGGUAGGCGGAAUGUGUUGUGUAGCGGUGAAAUGCAUAGAUAUAACACAGAACACCAAUCGCGAAGGCAGCUUACCAAGUUGUAACUGACGCUGAAGCACGAAAGCGUGGGGAUCAAACAGG